rfam:Triticum aestivum genome assembly, contig: Triticum_aestivum_CS42_TGACv1_scaffold_030386_1BL
CAACUACUCCCUCUGUCCCAAAUUUCUUGUCUUAGAUUUGUCUAGAUACGGAUGUAUCUAAUACUAAGACGAGAAUUUUGGGACAGAGGGAGUACUUU